rnacentral:lncRNA from 1 species
AUUAAUAGUACUGUACGGAUUUUAAAGAUGUCCGAGUAAGCGCAGAUGUUUCUGUGCUUUUAAAAGCGUAGGAGCUCAACUCUAUCCUGAUUAUUAUCCAGCAUUACAAAUUAUUCUUACGAAGUUUUUAAAAUUGAAAAUUGAUUUAUGUAAAGUUUUAGUUGUUAAAUAAUGAUAAAUUCGUAUAAAAUUUAUCUGAAUUAUGGAUUAUUUUGAGUUGAUUAUCAAACUUUUCAAAGUUUUGAUUUCACUAUCCAAACUUUCAUUUGUUUGAUUUGAAUCAGUCAACUGCAUAUUGACUUCAAAAUUCGCAACUGUAGAUUCAUUAAAAUAAGUAUUUAAAUUUUAAAGUCAAUGUGCUGUUGACUAAUUUAAAUCAAACAAAUUAAUAGACUGGAUAGUAAAAAUAAAAUUUUGAAAGAUUAAUUAGUCGAUUCAAAAUGAUUAACAUAAGUCGUGUAAGUUCUAUAUGUUUUCACCCUAAAUAAUAUAUCCCUCUAAAAUUCUAAAAUAUGCAAAUUUAUUCCUCCAAAUGUCAUGCGUUUAGUUGAUAUAUAGUUUACUUUCACCAUUUGGACCAUUUAGACUUUGUAAAAAAAUACUAUUCUUUUUCUAAAAAUGUUUAAAAGAUUUAUAAUUGUGGCGUAAUAUGUCAUGCUUUUUGGCAUAAGUUUGGCAUACUUUCUAAAAAGGGUAAACUUCAAAUACCACCCUGUGGUUUCUCAAUUUCUCAUUUUAGUGCCCUGUGAUUUAAAGUAUAUCAAUUUAGUGCCUUGUGGUUUCAUUUUUAUCUUUUCGCCAGUUUUUCCGUUAAUAUUUCGUUAAAUUAUAUAUAAAAAACUUCAAAUAUCCCACCUAGGUUUAUCGAAUAUUCAUUUUAGUACCCUUUAGUUUUAACUUUAUCACUAAUUUAAUAAAAAAAAUUAAUAGAAUAGAUAAUAAAAAGAUAAAAAAUGAAACCACAAGACACUAAAUUGAUACACUUUAAACCACGGGGUACUGAAGUGAAAAAGUGUGAAACCACAGGGAUGGUAUUUG